rfam:Citrus clementina cultivar Clemenules unplaced genomic scaffold scaffold_5, whole genome shotgun sequence.
GGGUGCGACCACACCAGCACUAAUGCACCGGAUCCCAUCAGAAUUCCGCAGUUAAGCGUGUUUGAACGAGAGCAGUACUAAGAUGGGUGACUUCUUGGGAAGUCUUCGUGUUGCAUCCC